rnacentral:rRNA from 1 species
UAGCCGGCCUGAGAGGGUGAACGGCGACAUUGGGACUGAGACACGGCCCAGACUCCUACGGGAGGCAGCAGUGGGCAAUAUUGCACAAUGGGGGAAACCCUGAUGCAGCGACGCCGCGUGAAGGAUGAAGUAUUUCGGUAUGUAAAGCUCUAUCAGCAGGGAAGAUAAUGACGUACCGACUAAGAAGCACCGGCUAAAUACGUGC